UCCUAGAAUUUCAUUUGUAAAAAUACGCAUUCAAUUUGUAUGAUACUGUUUUUAUAUUUUCUGUUUGAUACAGAAAUAAGAAAUGGAAACUUAAAAGCCAUUCUAGGGCUGUUUUUCAGUUUGUCUCGCUACAAACAGCAGCAACACCGUCAACAGCAGUAUUACCAGUCCUUGGUGGAACUUCAGCAACGAGUCACUCACACAUCCCCUCCUUUGGAAGCCAGUCAGGUCAAAACACAGCAAGAUAUGCAGUCCAGACUUCCUGGACCCUCUCGGGUGCCAGCCGCAGGCAGCAGCAGCAAGGCCCAAGGAUCAUCUAAUCUAAACAGAAGGAGUCAGAGCUUUAACAGCAUUGACAAAAACAAG
rnacentral:lncRNA from 1 species